rnacentral:tRNA from 1 species
GACCCCGUAGCUCAGCCGGUAGAGCAUCUGACUUUUAAUCAGGGUGUCGCGAGUUCAAAUCUCGCCGGGGUCACCA